CUAUAUUUUAUUUAGCAGAUUGUAGCUUCAAUGGAUGCCAGAAAUAUUUUAUGAAAAUCUGGCAGAUACAGUUUUGUAUUGUACUCCAGGAUAUACAUCUUUCCCAAAAGAUGGUAUUUCUUCAGAGGAUAAUUAAAACUUAAAUGCAUUCUUUAAUCAGUAUAAAAGACGAUUUUUUUGAACGACGUAGCCAGAAAAGACCAGUCUACACACUAAAACUUGACCAAGAAGUUCGGUGUCACAAGUGAAAGGGUUUGGCCAUGUACGUGCCGAAUGCCCGACGAGACGCGGCCCGGUUGUGCCCCACCAAUAAAAGCAAGCGGCAGAUCAGGCAAAGGAAGUGAUAGUGAUUAACUAUCAUUUUCAGGCCUCUCUUGACAAUGUAAGAUUUCACUAAUAAGGUUAGUGAGUUAUCUUACAUUGCCAAGAGGUUUAUUUUAUACUUUAAUAUUAAUAAUCAAUUAAAUAAAAACGUACACGUGAUUUAUCAGUAUUAUAAAUUUAAUGUAUAUUGUUUUUUUUUAUUUUUACGUGAGCUUAAUGAUCUUGUUUAAGACAGCCAUAUUAGUACGUCAAUGUGAUCGGAAGACAUUAAAUAUUUGGAAGAGAAACUUAAAA